rnacentral:misc_RNA from 1 species
GAUGAAGAACGUAGCGAAAUGCGAUAAGUAAUGUGAAUUGCAGAAUUCAGUGAAUCAUCGAAUCUUUGAACGCACAUUGCGCCCGCCAGUAUUCUGGCGGGCAUGCCUGUUCGAGCGUCAUUUCAACCCUCAAGCCCCCGGGCUUGGUGUUGGGGAUCGGCAAAACGGCCUCGCCAGAGGACGCGCCGGCCCCUAAAUCUAGUGGCGGUCUCGCUGCAGCCUCCAUUGCGUAGUAGCUAACACCUCGCAACUGGAACGCGGCGCGGCCAAGCCGUUAAACCCCCCAACUUUUUCUGAAUGUUGACCUCGGAUCAGGUAGGAAUACCCGCUGAACUUAAGCAUAUCAAUAAGCGGAGGA